UAUCCUACGGGAGGCAGCAGUGGGGAAUAUUGGGCAAUGGAGGCAACUCUGACCCAGCAACGCCGCGUGAGGGAAGACGGUCCUAUGGAUUGUAAACCUCUUUUGUCGGGGAGCAAAAGACGCCACGCGUGGCGUUCCGAGAGUACCCGAAGAAAAAGCAUCGGCUAACUCCGUGCCAGCAGCCGCGGUAAUACGGAGGAUGCGAGCGUUAUCCGGAUUUAUUGGGUUUAAAGGGUGCGCAGGCGGAAGAUCAAGUCAGCGGUAAAAUUGAGAGGCUCAACCUCUUCGAGCCGUUGAAACUGGUU
rnacentral:rRNA from 1 species